rnacentral:misc_RNA from 1 species
UCUCCGUAGGUGAACCAGCGGAGGGAUCAUUACCGUGUUUACAACUCCCAAACCCCCUUGAACAGACCAUUUGUUGCCUCGGCGGUGCCGGCUUCGGCAGCCCGCCAGAGGACCCAAACCCUUGAUUAUAUACAGUAUCUUCUGAGUAAAUGAUUAAAUAAAUCAAAACUUUCAACAACGGAUCUCUUGGUUCUG